UACGUAGGGCAAGCGUUGUCCGGAUUACUGGCGUAAAGCGCCUGUAGGCGGCUUGUCAAGUCCGGCUGAAAGCCCCGGCUCAACCGGGGAGGUGGCUGGAAACUGGCAGGCUUGAGGGCGAGAGAGGAGGGUGGAAUUCCUGGUGUAGCGGUGAAAUGCGUAGAGAUCAGGAGGAACACCCGGUGGCGAAGGCGACUUCCUGGCCUG
rnacentral:rRNA from 1 species